UACGGAGGGUGCAAGCGUUAUCCGGACUCACUGGGUUUAAAGGGUGCGUAGGCGGGCAGGUAAGUCAGUGGUGAAAUCUUCGAGCUUAACUCGGAAACUGCCUUUGAUACUAUCUGUCUUGAAUAUGGUGGAGGUAAGCGGAAUAUGUCAUGUAGCGGUGAAAUGCUUAGAGAUGGCAUAGAACACCCAUUGCGAAGGCGGCUUACUACACCUAUAUUGACGCUGAGGCACGAAAGCGUGGGGAUCAAACAGG
rnacentral:rRNA from 1 species